rnacentral:rRNA from 1 species
GACACGGCCCAGACUCCUACGGGAGGCAGCAGUGGGGAAUAUUGCACAAUGGGCGAAAGCCUGAUGCAGCAACGCCGCGUGAGGGACGAAGGCCUUCGGGUUGUAAACCUCUUUUAGCAGGGAAGAAGCGAAAGUGACGGUACCUGCAGAAAAAGCACCGGCUAACUACGUGCCAGCAGCCGCGGUAAUACGUAGGGUGCAAGCGUUGUCCGGAAUUAUUGGGCGUAAAGAGCUCGUAGGCGGUUUGUCGCGUCUGCUGUGAAAGCCCGGGGCUUAACCCCGGGUGUGCAGUGGGUACGGGCAGACUAGAGUGCAGUAGGGGAGACUGGAAUUCCUGGUGUAGCGGUGGAAUGCGCAGAUAUCAGGAGGAACACCAAUGGCGAAGGCAGAUCUCUGGGCCGUAACUGACGCUGAGGAGCGAAAGCGUGGGGAGCGAACAGGAUUAGAUACCCUGGUAGUCCACGCCGUAAACGGUGGGUGCUAGCUGUGGGCCACAUUCCACGUGGUCCGUGACGAAGUUAACACAUUAAGCACCCCGCCUGGGGAGUACGGCCGCAAGGCUAAAACUCAAAGGAAUUGACGGGGGCCCGCACAAGCGGCGGAGCAUGCGGAUUAAUUCGAUGCAACGCGAAGAACCUUACCAAGGCUUGACAUAUAGAGGAAAAGUGUAGAAAUACACUCCCCGCAAGGUCUCUAUACAGGUGGUGCAUGGUUGUCGUCAGCUCGUGUCGUGAGAUGUUGGGUUAAGUCCCGCAACGAGCGCAACCC